rfam:Myotis brandtii contig219795, whole genome shotgun sequence.
UGCGGUUCUAGGGUGAUGCAACCAAGAAUCAAGCUCCCUCCUCUCUGGUUCCAGGUGCAUCACCCGAGAACCACA